UACGGAGGUGGCAAGCGUUACUCGGAUUCAUUGGGUGUAAAGGGCAAGUAGGCGGUCUAUUAAGUGAGGGGUGAAAUCUUCCGACUCAAUCGGGAAACUGCCUUUCAAACUGAUAGACUUGAGGGUGGAAGAGGAAAAUGGAAUUCUCGGUGUAAGGGUGAAAUCUGUAGAUAUCGAGAAGAACACCAGCGGCGAAGGCGAUUUUCUGGUCCACUCCUGACGCUAAAUUGCGAAAGCUAGGGGAGCAAACAGA
rnacentral:rRNA from 1 species